UACCAAUCAAAGUCCCAAUCUAGCACACGAAGCAGUUGAACAACUCAUUAACCAAGCAAGUCUCAAGUGCCCUCUUCUCCCCCUCAAAACUUUUCAUUUCACGUCUCACUGUCUUCGCUGUUCAGGUGAUGGGCGUUGUUAUUUCCAACAAUGUCAGCAGCUAUCUCAAGCUCCCUCUUUUCUCUCGCUCUUGCUCAGUCACUCACCCAACCCAGAAACCUAAGAAUCCUUCACUCUCCCACCUCUCUUUCUCUUCCAAUUUCUCCUUCUCUUUGUCUCAAAUCCAAUCGCCACCCCAAUUUCUUCGCAUGUUGUUCUCUAAAUGUACAAGGCAGCGCUGCCCAAGUCACACCCAUUGAAAAGCAAUACCCAGCAUUUCCUACGGUAAUGGAUAUUAAUCAGAUACGUGAAAUCUUGCCCCACAGUGGAUAGAGUGAUUGAGUACAAUCCUGGGGUUUCAGCUGUUGCUAUUAAGAAUGUGACUAUAAAUUAUAACUUUUUCCCUGGCCACUUCCCAGAAAGGCCUAUUUUGCCUGGAGUUCUCAUGAUUGAGGUACCACUUAUUCUCAUGCUCUCCUAUGUUCUUUCUCUACAAUACAUAUUCCGCUUAAUUAUACUAUACUCGCGGAUAAAACCGGCAAGAGUUAGAAAAAUGCAUAGUAGAAUCCGUUCCUUUGAGAAAAUUAAUGUCGAGCUGAGUUAUAACUAUUGCCACUUGUUCUUUGUCCCAAAUUUGUAAACGGCGAAUGGGCAAUGCAUUUGACAUGACUCUUGGCUGUUGGUUGGCUUGUCUGGAUAUCUAUAAUAAUUUCUUGAAUUGGGUUUUUCAUUGUUGUGUCGUUUUAGUGUCUAACUUCUAAAAUGGUCCAACAAUGCAAACUUCAGCGUUUAUUCUAUGAGAAAAUAUUUUAUGCUUAUAAGGGAUUUGCUCUUGCAUCAACAUAGGUAUGAGAUGAAAUUUUCUAAAUGGUUAAUGCAUGUGCUUUUGAGAAAUGUGGGUGCAUAAGAACGAUUUACGUUGAAUGAGUUACCAAGGCAGAAGGGCGCAGGGACACAUGUUUCUCGAUCAUCCAUGGGAUGCAUGUUGAGACUGGGUUUAUCUAAAAUUGAAAGGGAUGUUAACACUCUUGCAGUAGCUUUAUAUUGAUUAUUUAGUUGGUUCACUUUCCAGUAGCUUUAUAUUGAUUAUUUAGUUGGUUCACUUUCCAGUAGCUUUAUAUUGAUGAGGAAAGAUUUCUAAGUAGACGGGGGUCUGUACUGUAUGGUUAUAGCAUGAAAUGUUGGCAGUUAUCUGGGUUAAUUUUAUGGCACUUCUGUUGAGCUAGUGAGUCAAUAAAGUAGUGUUUCAGUUUACCAGUUUUGUUGAAGUUUUAUUUUCUCAGAGAAAAAGAAAAAAAAAAAAAUGAUCAUGCAAGAGUGCCCAUAUGACAAACAACGUUGUAAAGCAUAGUGUAUUGUUUCUUACAUUAUUAAUAAACAAGGUUUAACAAAACAUAUGAACUUCCUGGUGGGUUGGGUUAGGGGAUAUGGGUACUAUGUUGAGAAAGGGCUGUUUAGCUAGAAUGCAAAUGGACGAAAAUGUACCAAGACGUGAUUUAUAAAAUGCAUCCGCAGAUUCACUUGCCUUAUGUUUUCUGAAGUCCAUAAAUUGGCUGUCUGUGUAUGGUUUCAUAUGUGGACGGAUAUAUGUAACCAAACUCUGUUUGGUGGCAGCUGAGUUCUUUGUAGAAGAAGAUUUGUGUUGUUGAGCUAGACGUGUGUAUGUUGUUGAGCCAUUCCAUGUUGAUCUAUUCUUCUCGUGGUUGUUAAAAUAUUGGGUUGGUCUUAACUCUCAAGCUCAUAUUUCUGCAUCUAAAAGAAUCCCAGAUCUUUUGUUUUGAAGUGUGGAAUUUAUUAGAAACAGUUGUAUAUAUGCAUAGAAGACAUUUUAUGAUUGCUAUAGACACUUCAGAGUAAAAUUUGAUUUGUUUUAGAAGUGAAAUUUUUGUAGCAGCAUAUUCUUAUCAAAUUGCAUGAAGCUUUUCAAGAUCUUUGUUCAAGACACUAUUCUAAAAAUCCCCGCCUAGCGCCGCCUAGGGGCUAGACAGCUGGCCAUCGCCCCGAUUAAUGCCUAGGCGUUUGAAAAUUAAGAAAAGGCACCUAGACCACCUAGGUUUCAACUCACUUAGACAUAAAAUUGUAAGAGAUUUGUUGAAUACUACCUAAAUGAACAUACAUUAUAUGCUUGUUCCUCGUGUUUUUUUUAUUAUGUUCCAAUACUUCAUAAUAUAUAUGUCUUUUAUUUUGUAGUUUAUGACGAAAUUAUAUAUAUUUUAAGUAUAAGCAAACUCUUAUUAGAACGAAAUGUAAUAGAUUUUCUUAAAUCCGUCUCGUCCUUCUAGGCGCCUACCUAGCCGCCUAGGUGCUAGGCCCCAUCCCGCUGCUUGACUAGCACCUAGCGUCUUUUAGAACCUCGGUUCAAGAUGGAGCUUUUUGUACUUUUGUGCCUUUUUCUCAGUUACUAAGUUAGUCUCCUGGAUUUUGUAUCAAGAGAUAUUUAGUCCAUUAGAGUGAUAUAUUUGGCUAGUUGCAAGUUCGAAGACUCAUUUAUGUGAUAGAUAAGGCCAAAUUAGAGGUCAGCUUCUCAAACCCAGGGUUUUAUUUGAGUACAAUACAGUCUUCGAUGUAACAAUUUUCCUAGGAACAGCUCUCGGAUUGAUCGCUUAAUACACUAGGAAGUGGCUUUUCAGUUUUACCCCUUAAGGAAGCCAAUGGGUCCAACUUCUACACGAUUUAAUUCGUUAUAUUAAUACACUCUUUGAUGCAUUCGAUUUUGGGUGCCAUGGGAUUUGGCUGGUUUUUUUUUUUUUUUUCCUGAAAGUGUGGGUUGGCUCCGUGGUUGGGUCUGUGUAUUGGUGUUUGGUUUGGGAUACUCUAACUCCAUCUUCUAUGACGAGAAGAAGAUGAAGGAAAAAAGUAUCUCCAUUGUCUAUGCUCUCUUUCCUAUGGUAUUGGUUCUUUUUCAAAGGCAUUUUCUGUUUAAUCUCUGUUCCAGUACAUUUGUGAUGAUAAAAUGUUUUUUUUAUUUCAAGCAGUUUUGAUCUUCUCACGGUGCAUGCUGAUCAAAUCAAAAUCAACCUUCAGUUCAGUUUUCAACUUAGUUUGCUACUUGUUCCUUUCUGUUAUAGUGAAAAAAAAUCUACUAAACUUCCAGUAUUUUGGGCAUAGUGAAGAUGCAUUUUAAGCUUUUACUCCAACUUCCUGUAUAAUCAUGAUAAUCCAUAGCGAAAGUGAAAUUGAUAUAUAGGCGAUUAAUAAAGAGCAUAUAUAAGCUUACCUGCUGCAACAGGUAGAAGUUUUAUGUUUAGGUGCUAGGAUUAGUCCCAUCGGAUGGUAUGUGGAUUUCCAGUAAUGCAGUAGAAGAGAUAACACAAUGAACGUAACACAAUAGAAGUUUACUAACUCUUUCUUGUAUAACACAAAGUCAGUAACCGCACUGCUGAACCAUGAAAACUGAAAUUAAUAAUAGUGUCACUCUGAUUCCUUGGCACAUUUGCAAGUAACCAUUUGGCUUAUAAAAUCAAAAGAAUCUUCUCUUUAGCUCGGGUCCCCAUGAUUCGGUUGGUCUCGUUGAAAGUUUGUUUUGUUUUAGCUAUAUUCUAGAGCUGAAAUAUGUUUAUACAAGGUUCAGAGUUGAUAAAACUAUCUUCAUUGAAUUGGUAAUUGGUUGCAAGCUUACACUAAUGCAUCGUGACAAUAGAUUUCUGCUCUAAUCACCUUAGAAUACUAGCUCUAGUAAUAUAUUUCAUCUGUAUUCCCUUUUGCCACAAACUCAUUGAUUAUGGUGCAUGAAAUUUGCUAAGUUUUAACUGAAGUUUAUUCUGGGCGCGGGCAAUGGCUCAGGAGGGAGGUAUUGUUAUGCUGCAACCCGAAGUUGGAGGAUCUCUUGACAAUUUCUUCUUUGCAGGAAUUGAUAAAGUGAGGUUUAGAAGGCCUCUAAUUGCAGGAGACACAUUGGUGAUGAGAACGACUCUAGUGAAGUUCCAAAAACGGUUUGGAAUAGCAAAGAUGGAGGGUAAGGCAUAUGUCGGAGGUGACUUGGUCUGCGAGGGCGAAUUCUUGAUGGCAAGUGGGAGUGUUUAAUGAUGCAGAGUAUGUCCUAUUCUACCUUCUUGGCGUUUUUCUAGUCUUCAAGCCCCUUAAUACCGUGAUGUUGAGGAUUUGCUUGUCAUUUUUCGACUUUCCGUGUCAAUAAAGAGAUUUGAUUAAAUUUUUGCUGAA